rnacentral:rRNA from 1 species
UACGUAGGGGGCAAGCGUUGUCCGGAAUCAUUGGGCGUAAAGAGCGCGUAGGCGGCCCUGUAAGUCCGCUGUGAAAGUCAAGGGCUCAACCCUUGGAUGCCGGUGGAUACUGCAGGGCUAGAGUCCGGAAGAGGCGAGUGGAAUUCCUGGUGUAGCGGUGAAAUGCGCAGAUAUCAGGAGGAACACCGAUGGCGAAGACAGCUCGCUGGGACGGUACUGACGCUGAGGCGCGAAAAGCGUGGGGAGCAAACAGG